GACGAACGCUGGCGGCGUGCUUAACACAUGCAAGUCGAACGGAAAGGCCCUGCUUUUGUGGGGUGCUCGAGUGGCGAACGGGUGAGUAACACGUGAGUAACCUGCCCUUGACUUUGGGAUAACUUCAGGAAACUGGGGCUAAUACCGGAUAGGAGCUCCUGCUGCAUGGUGGGGGUUGGAAAGUUUCGGCGGUUGGGGAUGGACUCGCGGGUUAUCAGCUUGUUGGUGGGGUAGUGGCUUACCAAGGCUUUGACGGGUAGCCGGCCUGAGAGGGUGACCGGCCACAUUGGGACUGAGAUACGGACCUGACUGCUACGGGGGGCAGCAGUGGGGAAUAUUGCACAGUGGGCGGAAGCCUGAUGCAGCAACGCCGCGUGCGGGAUGACGGCCUUCGGGUUGUGAACCGCUUUCGCCUGUGACGAAGCGUGAGUGACGGUAAUGGGUAAAGAAGCACCGGCUAACUACGUG
rnacentral:rRNA from 1 species